AGAGUUUGAUCCUGGCUCAGGAUGAACGCUAGCGGGAGGAUUAACACAUGCAAGUCGAGGGGUAACAUUGGAGCUUGCUUCAGAUGACGACCGGCGCACGGGGGUGAGUAACGCGUAUGCAACCUACCUCAAACAGGGGGAUAGCUCAGGGAAACCUGGAUUAAUACCCCAUAAUAUUUAGAUUUGGCAUCAGAUUUAAAUUAAAACUCCGGUGGUUUGAGAUGGGCAUGCGUGACAUUAGCUAGUUGGUAAGGUAAUGGCUUACCAAGGCUACGAUGUCUAGGGGUUCUGAGAGGAUGAUCCCCCACACUGGUACUGAGACACGGACCAGACUCCUACGGGAGGCAGCAGUGAGGAAUAUUGGUCAAUGGGCGCAAGCCUGAACCAGCCAUCCCGCGUGUAGGAAGACUGCCCUAUGGGUUGUAAACUACUUUUAUAAAGGAAGAAACCCUCUUACGUGUAAGAGGCUGACUGUACUUUACGAAUAAGCACCGGCUAACUCCGUGCCAGCAGCCGCGGUAAUACGGAGGGUGCAAGCGUUAUCCGGAUUUAUUGGGUUUAAAGGGUGCGUAGGCGGGCCUUUAAGUCAGUGGUGAAAUCCUGCAGCUUAACUGUAGAACUGCCACUGAUACUGAGUUUCUUGAAUCUGAUUGAAGUGGGCGGAAUAUGACAUGUAGCGGUGAAAUGCUUAGAUAUGACAUAGAACACCGAUAGCGAAGGCAGCUCACUAAGUCAGUAUUGACGCUCAUGGACGAAAGCGUGGGGAGCGAACAGGAUUAGAUACCCUGGUAGUCCACGCCGUAAACGAUGAUCACUAGUUAUUGGCGAUACACUGUCAGUGACUAAGCGAAAGUGUUAAGUGAUCCACCUGGGGAGUACGAUCGCAAGGUUGAAACUCAAAGGAAUUGACGGGGGCCCGCACAAGCGGUGGAGCAUGUGGUUUAAUUCGAUGAUACGCGAGGAACCUUACCAGGGCUUAAAUGCAGAAUGACAGUUUGAGAAAUCAGAUUUUCUUCGGACAUUUUGCAAGGUGCUGCAUGGUUGUCGUCAGCUCGUGCCGUGAGGUGUCAGGUUAAGUCCUAUAACGAGCGCAACCCCUAUCUUUAGUUGCCAGCGGGUCAUGCCGGGGACUCUAAAGAAACUGCCAGCGCAAGCUGUGAGGAAGGUGGGGAUGACGUCAAAUCAUCACGGCCCUUACGUCCUGGGCUACACACGUGCUACAAUGGUAACGACAGAGGGCAGCCACCACGCGAGUGGGAGCGAAUCCUUAAACAUUAUCUCAGUUCGGAUUGGAGUCUGCAACUCGACUCCAUGAAGCUGGAAUCGCUAGUAAUCGCGCAUCAGCCAUGGCGCGGUGAAUACGUUCCCGGGCCUUGUACACACCGCCCGUCAAGCCAUGGAAGCUGGGGGUGCCUGAAGUCGGUGACCAUUUAGGAGCUGCCUAGGGUGAAACUAGUGACUGGGGCUAAGUCGUAACAAGGUAACC
rnacentral:rRNA from 1 species